CCCUAGCCCUGAUAGUAGUGGAAAUCCUUUUUGUUUUUUCUUUAAAAACAAAAAGAUUGAAACGAAUAGCAGGAUUAGCU
rnacentral:sRNA from 1 species